rnacentral:rRNA from 1 species
AGGGUUUGAUCAUGGCUCAGAACGUACGCUGGCGGCACGCCUAAUACAUGCAAGUCGAACGAAGUAGCAAUACUUAGUGGCAGACGGGUGAGUAACAUGUAGGUAUCUUCCCUUCGGUGAGGAAUAACACGAGGAAACUUGUGCUAAUACCUCAUAAGUCUUUACGGAGAAAGCUUUAUGCGCCGAUGGAUGAGCCUGCACUUGAUUAGUUUGUUGGUAGGGUAAUGGCCUACCAAGACAAUGAUCAAUAGCUGAUUUGAGAGGAUGAUCAGCCACAUUGGGACUGAGACACGGCCCAAACUCCUACGGGAGGCAGCAGUAGGGAAUCUUGCACAAUGGGGGAAACCCUGAUGCAGCGAUGCCGCGUGAGUGAAGAAGGCCUUUGGGUUGUAAAGCUCUUUCGUCGGGGAAGAAAAUGACUGUACCCGAAUAAGAAGGUCCGGCUAACUUCGUGCCAGCAGCCGCGGUAAUACGAAGGGACCUAGCGUAGUUCGGAAUUACUGGGCUUAAAGAGUUCGUAGGUGGUUAAAAAAGUUGGUGGUGAAAUCCCAGAGCUUAACUCUGGAACUGCCAUCAAAACUUUUUAGCUAGAGUAUGAUAGAGGAAAGCAGAAUUUCUAGUGUAGAGGUGAAAUUCGUAGAUAUUAGAAAGAAUACCAAUUGCGAAGGCAGCUUUCUGGAUCAUUACUGACACUGAGGAACGAAAGCAUGGGUAGCGAAGAGGAUUAGAUACCCUCGUAGUCCAUGCCGUAAACGAUGUGUGUUAGACGUUGGAAAUUUAUUUUCUGUGUCGCAGCGAAAGCAAUAAACACACCGCCUGGGGAGUACGACCGC